UAUUCUCAUGAUAGUGAGUGAGUUCUUGCAAGAUCUGAUGGUUUUAGAAGGGCUUUUCCCCCUUCUGCUCGGCACUUCUCCUUGCUGCCUCCAUGUGAAGGAUGUGUUUGCUUCCUCUUCUGUCAUGAUUGUUAAGUUUCCUAAGGCCUCCCCAGCCAUGCGGAACUGUGAAUCAAUUAAACCUCUUUCCUUUAUAAAUUACUCAGUCGGAGGUACGUCUAUUAGCAGUGUGAGAAGGGACAAAUACAACGAGUAACAAGAUUGAAUCAGUAAUAAAAAAUCUCCCAACAAAGGCAAGCUUGGGACCCAAUGACUUUACUGAUGAAUUCCAUCAAACACUUAAAGAGAAACUAAUGCCAAUCGUUUUCAAACUCUUCCAAAAUGUUGAAGAGGAGGAAACACUUCCAUACUUACUCUAUGAGGCCAAUAUUACUCUGAUAUCCAAACCAGACAAGAAUGCUUUAAGAAAAUAAAUUACAAGCCAAUAUUUCUGAUGAACAUAGGUGCAAGAAUUCUCAACAACAUAUUAGCAAACUGAACUCAACAGCCCAUUAAAAACAUCACACACCAUGAUCAAGUGAGAUUUAUCAGUAGGUUGCAAGGAUGGCUUAACAUAUGUAACUCAGUACAUGUGAUACAUCAUGUUAACAAAAUGAAGGACAAAAACCACAAUAUCUUCUUAAUAGAUGCGGAGAAAGCAUUUAACAAAAUUAAUCAUCCAUUCAUGAUAAAAACUCUCAAAAAAUAAGUAUAGAGAGAAUGUACCUCAACCUAAUUAUUUUGAUAAACCCAUAGCUAACAUCAUAUUCAGCAGUGAAAACCUGAAAGCUUUUCCUCUAAGAUCAGGAACAAGACAGGAAUGCUCAUUCUUAUCACUUCUAUUCAAUAUAAUACUGAAAUUCCUAGACAGAGCAAUUAGGUAAGACAAAAAAAAGGCAUCCAGCCUGGAAUGGUGUCUACACUAAGCUUGGCAUCAAUAUGGUGACCUUCUGGAAGUGGAGUACCACCAGGUUGCCUAAGGAGGGGUGAACUGACCCGGGUUGGAAAUCGAGCAGGUCAUAACUCCCAUGCUGAUCAGUAGUAGAAUCACUGCACUGUUCCUUUUUGCAGGUGACAUAAUUUUAUAUAUCAAAAAUCCUAAACACUUCAUCAAAAAACUUUUAGAACUAAUAAAGUCAGUAAAUUUGCAGGACACAAAAUCAAAGUGCAAAAUCAGUAGCAUUUCUAUACACUGACAGUGAACUAUCAGAACAAGAAAUCAAGAAAAUUAUCUCUUGUACAAUAGCAUCAAAAAAUUAAAUACUUAAGAAUAAACUUAAACAAGGAAGUGAAAUAUCUUUACACUGAAAAUUAUAAAACAUUGAUGAAAGUAUAGAAGAAUAAGUGGCAAUAUGUCCCACAUUCAUGGUUUGAAAAAAGUAAUAUCAUUAAAAUGUUCGUACUACACAAAACUAUCUACAGAUUCAAUGUAAUCCCUAUCAAAAUUACAAUGACAUUUUCACAAACAUUAGAAAAAAAUCCUAAAAUUCAUAUAGAACUACAAAAGACCCUGAGUAGCCAAAGCAAUCUUGAAUAAAAAUAACAAAGGUGGAGGCAUCACUACCUGAUUUCAAAAUCUACUAU
rnacentral:lncRNA from 1 species